GCUGGGCAUGGUGGCGCACGCCUGUAAUCCCAGCUACUCAGGAGGCUGAGAUAGGAGAAAUGCUUGAACCCGGGAGGUGGAGGUUGCAGUGAGCCAAGAUUGUGCCACUGCACUCCACCCUGAGUAACAGAGCAAGACUCCGUCUCAA
rnacentral:SRP_RNA from 1 species